AUUCCCUGCAGAGUUGUAGAAACCGGCUCUGCGUGAGUCAAGCUCUCUGAUGAAUGAGGAAGUAUUCCCUACUGUGCCCUUCACACUGACGUAUGAACUCAAGACAGGCCCACUUCUCUGCAGAAGAAUGUCCUAAUGUCAAGCUAGCACUCUCCUCUG